rnacentral:rRNA from 1 species
GAUGAACGCUGACAGAAUGCUUAACACAUGCAAGUCUACUUGAUUCUACUUCGGUAGUUGAUGGUGGCGGACGGGUGAGUAACGCGUAAAGAAUCUGCCCUUUAGUUCGGGAUAACCUUUGGAAACGAAGGAUAAUACCGGAUAUUAUGGAGACGUCGCAUGACGAUUUCAUGAAAGCUAUAUGCGCUAGAGGAGGACUUUGCGUCCCAUUAGUUAGUUGGUGAGGUAAUGGCUCACCAAGACCGGGAUGGGUAGCCGGCCUGAGAGGGUGAUCGGCCACAAGGGAACUGAGACACGGUCCUUACUCCUACGGGAGGCAGCAGUGGGGAAUAUUGGACAAUGGGCCACAAGCCUGAUCCAGCAAUUCUGUGUGCACGAUGAAGGUCUUCGGAUUGUAAAGUGCUUUCAGUAGGGAAGAAAAAAAUGACGGUACCUACAGAAGAAGCGACGGCUAAAUAUGUGCCAGCAGCCGCAGUAAAAC